GUAUGUAUCUCAGUGGUAGAGUGCUUGCCUAGCAUACAUGAGGUCCUGGAUUCAAUCCCCAGUAUCAUACA
rnacentral:tRNA from 1 species